GCCAAAAGGCCUCCUCUUCAGUGCAAUACAGCAACAACACAGACGUCACUAUGUUCAUCGCCUGAGAGAGAGAGAGAGAGAGAGAGAGAGAGAGAGAGAGAGAGAGAGAGAGAGAGAGAGAGAGAGAGAGAUAAUUAACAUCAACACAAUGCAUCAACAUUUUCAGAUGCAAAUCCAUCUGAUGGUGUAAAGCUGUAACUAGAUACUACAAAGCAGUCCUUGUGCCCAUAAGACACCCAGAUGAAAACACAUGCAUAUUUCAUGAGCGAUAAGAUGGAAGUUACUCUCUGGAGUCUAAUUUUAAAAGCUGUUUCUGUGGUCUGGAAAGUACCCUUGACCUACUACUGCUUAAAAGAGGGUCGAAAUAGACUGUGGUCAGCCUAGAUGGUGGAUUUCUCUGCGACAGCUUCUCAUUCAAGACUACAAAAAGGCCAAAACAGAGGGUUUCAUUGAGGAUUUCAAAACAGACGAGGGAGCACUUCACCACAAAAGAAACAAACAGGAAAAGAACAGAAAAUACUAAAAGGUAUAUUUGUUUUUUGUUUUUGUUGAAUUUGGCAGUCAAGUGUUCAGUGUUGCUGCUAAAAAGAACUGUGGUGUUUGUACACAGUCCAGGUUCUGUAAAAAGAAUACAAACAAGCAGUAGUGUCUCAGACUUGGAACCAUAACAUAAACAAUCCCAACCAAUCAACACAGAGCUUCAGGAGCACAGAAGGGAGGGUGUAAUUUGAUAGGCCGUUGAGCUCAAAUAU